CUGGAGCAGCGCCCACACACUGAGGUGAGCAUCUGACAGCCUGGGGCAGCACCCACACCCCCAGGUGAGCAUCUGGCAACCUGGAACAGCAUCUACAGCCCCAGGUGACCAUCUGACAGCCUGAAGCAGCACCCACACCCCCAGGUGAGCAUGUGACCACAUGGAAUGUCAUCCUCACCUCCAGGUGAGCAUCCGACAGCCUGGAACAGAAUUCUCAAACCCCAGGUGAGGAUCUGACAACCUGGAACAGAACCCCACUCUUCCAAGUGAGAAUCUGACAGCAUAAAACAGCACCCUGCACCCCCAGGUGAGCAUCUGACAGCCUGAAACAGCACCCUCCACCUUCAGGUGAGAAUAUGACAGCCUGAAACAGCACCCCACACCCCAGGCAAAAAUCUGACAGCAUGGAACAAGACCACUGCUCCCAGGUGAACAUCUGAUAGCCUGGAACAGAACCCCAGGCCUCCAAGUAAGCAUCUGAAAGCACGGAACAGCACUCUCACCCCCAGGGGAGCGUCUGACAACCUAGAACAGCACCUUCACCCCGAGGUGGGCAUCUGGCAGCAUAAAACAGCACCCCUACUGGCAGAUGAGCAUAUGACAGCCUGGAACAGCACCCACACCCCCAGGUGAGCAUCUGACAGCCUGGAGCAGCACCCCACACCCCCAGGGGAGCAUCUGACAGUCUGGAACAGCACUCCACACCCCCAGGUGAGCAUCUGACAUCCUGGAACAGCACCCCACGCCCCCAGGUGAGCAUCUGACAGCCUGGAACAGCACCCCACACCCCUAGAUGAGCAUCUGACAGCCUGGAGCAGAACC